GCCUCUGGUAGAUUGGUGGUUAGAGUUCUAGUCUGGUAGACCGGAGGUGGUGGGUUCGAUUCCCACCUGAGGCA
rnacentral:tRNA from 1 species